rnacentral:rRNA from 1 species
UACGUAGGGUGCGAGCGUUAAUCGGAAUUACUGGGCGUAAAGCGUGCGCAGGCGGUUUUGUAAGCCAGAUGUGAAAUCCCCGGGCUCAACCUGGGAAUGGCAUUCGGGACUGCAAGGCUGGAGUGCGGCAGAGGAGACUGGAAUUCCUGGUGUAGCAGUGAAAUGCGUAGAUAUCAGGAGGAAUACCGAUGGCGAAGGCAGGUCUCUGGGCUGACACUGACGCUCAUGCACGAAAGCGUGGGGAGCAAACAGG